rnacentral:rRNA from 1 species
CCUACGGGUGGCAGCAGUGAGGAAUAUUGGUCAAUGGGCGAGAGCCUGAACCAGCCAAGUCGCGUGAAGGAUGACGGCCCUACGGGUUGUAAACUUCUUUUGUCAGGGAGCAAUUGGGUCCACGCGUGGGCUUAGCGAGAGUACCUGAAGAAAAAGCAUCGGCUAACUCCGUGCCAGCAGCCGCGGUAAUAAGGAGGAUGCGAGCGUUAUCCGGAUUUAUGGGGGUUAAAGGGUGCGUAGGCGGAAUAUCAAGUCAGCGGUAAAAAUUCGGGGCUAAACCCCGUCGUGCCGUUGAAACUGGUGUUCUUGAGUGGGCGAGAGGUAGGUGGAAUGCGUGGUGUAGGGGUGAAAUGCGUAGAUAUCACGAAGAACACCGAUUGCGAAGGCGACAGACCGGCGCACAACUGACGCUGAAGCACGAAAGCGUGGGUAUCGAACAGGAUUAGAUACCCGAGUAGUC